rnacentral:lncRNA from 1 species
CGUGCUCUCGCGGGAGAGGGCUCAGUAAACAUUUGCUGAGUGGAGCAUGAUCAAUAAGUCAACACUGCAACCGGGAUAAACACACGGACCGGCUGAGGACAGAGAGGAUUCCAGCGCGAGCCUGGCAAGCAAACAUCCAGGGAAACCCGAGCCCCGGCGUUGGGGCAUUUGAGUACCGGACACCUGCCGUUCUGUUGGCACAAGCUCCCCUCUCCCUCACGUCCCAGCUCCACGUUGACCGGCUUGAACUGUGUGCAAGAGAAAGCAGACACAGCCUG